AUGCGCUAGGUGGGGAGCUUGCGGUGCCCUGUACCUGCAAUCCGCAACAGCAGGACUGAACGCCGUUCUCGGCUUUGACUAUGUGAGGUCUGCCUCAAAUAAGUAACGUUGAUACCAAGGUCUUGUGCAAUCAUUCACUGUGAACCAUGUCAGGACUUGACCGUAGCAGCAUUAAGCAGACCGUUUGAUGUGCCAUAAGGUAGCUUUGGAGGAGUCAACUGUUUGGGUUACGCUUGGGUAGCCACUGUCAAAAACGGAUGCGCAG
rnacentral:SRP_RNA from 1 species